GAGUUUGAUCGUGGCUCAGAUUGAACGCUGGCGGCAGGCCUAACACAUGCAAGUCGAGCGGUAGAGAGAAGCUUGCUUCUCUUGAGAGCGGCGGACGGGUGAGUAAUGCCUAGGAAUCUGCCUGGUAGUGGGGGAUAACGCUCGGAAACGGACGCUAAUACCGCAUACGUCCUACGGGAGAAAGCAGGGGACCUUCGGGCCUUGCGCUAUCAGAUGAGCCUAGGUCGGAUUAGCUAGUUGGUGAGGUAAUGGCUCACCAAGGCGACGAUCCGUAACUGGUCUGAGAGGAUGAUCAGUCACACUGGAACUGAGACACGGUCCAGACUCCUACGGGAGGCAGCAGUGGGGAAUAUUGGACAAUGGGCGAAAGCCUGAUCCAGCCAUGCCGCGUGUGUGAAGAAGGUCUUCGGAUUGUAAAGCACUUUAAGUUGGGAGGAAGGCAGUAAUUAAUACUUUAGCUGUUUUGACGUUACCGACAGAAUAAGCACCGGCUAACUCUGUGCCAGCAC
rnacentral:rRNA from 1 species